rnacentral:rRNA from 1 species
GGUUUGAUUCUUGGCUCAGAUUGAACGCUGGCGGAUGCUUUACACAUGCGUCGUGAACGGCAGCACGGACUUCGGUCUGGUGGCGAGUGGCGAACGGGUGAGUAAUGUAUCGGAACGUGCCUAGUAGCGGGGGAUAACUACGCGAAAGCGUAGCCAAUACCGCACAUUGCCCUUCGGGGAAAGCGGGGACCUUCGGGCCUCGCACUAUUAGAGCGGCCGAUAUCGGAUUAGGCUGGGGUUGCGGGGUAACGGCUCACCAAGGCGACGAUCCGUAGCUGGCUCUUGAGGACGACCAGCCACACUGGGACUGAGACACGGCCCAGACUCCUACGGGAGGCAGCAGUGGGGAAUUUCGGACAAUGGGGAAACCCCGAUCCAGCCAUUCCGCGUGUGCGAUGAAGGCUCGCUGUAAAGCACUUCUGGCAGGAAAGAAACGGCACGGAUAAUACCCUGUGCAACCUCCUGACGGCACCUGCAGAAUAAGCACUGGCUAACUACGUGCCAGCAGCCGCGGUAAUACGUAGGGUGCAAGCGUUAACGGAAUUACUGGCGAAGUGCGGCGCAGGCGGUUCGGAAAGAAAGAUGUGAAAUCCCAGGGCUUAACUUUGGAACUGCAUUUUUAACUACCGAGCUAGAGUGUGUCAGAGGGAGGUGGAAUUCCGCGUAGCAGUGAAUGCGGUAGAUAUGCGGAGAGGAACACCACCGAUGGCGAAGGGCAGCCUCCUUGGGAUAACACUGACGCUCAUGCACGAAAAGGUGAGCAAACAGAUUAGAUACUCCUGGUGGAACACGCCCUAAACGAUGUCAACUAGCUGUUGGGGCCUCGGGCCUGGUAGCGCAGUUGACUGUGGCGGGUUGACCGCCCGGGGAGUACGGUCGCAAGAUUAAAAUCAAAGGAAUUGACGGGGACCUGCAGCGUUGUGAUGAUGUGGAUUAAUUCGAUGCAACGCGAAAAACCUUACCUACCUCGACAUGUCUGGAAUCCCGAAGAGAUUUGGGAGUGCUCGCAAGAGAACCGGAACACAGGUGCUUCAUGGCUGUCGUCAGCUCGUGUCGUGAGAUGUUGGGUUAAGUCCGGCAACGAGCGCAACCCUUGUCAUUAGUUGCUGUAAGGGCACUCUUAAUGAGAUCUGUCGGUGACAAACCGGAGGAAGGUGGGGAUGACGUCAUCCUCAUGGCCUGUGGGCUUCACACGUCAUAUAAUGGUCGGGACAGAGGGUCGCCAACCCGCGAGGGGGAGCCAAUCCCAGAAACCCGAUCGUAGUCCGGAUCGCAGUCUGCAACUCGACUGCGGUCGGAAUCGCUAGUAAUCGUGAUCAGCAUGUCGCGGUGAAUACGUUCCCGGGUCUUGUACACACCGCCCAGUCAUGACCAUGAGCAGACCAGAAGUAGUUAGCCUAACCGUGAAGGAUGGGCGAUUACCACGGUAGGAUUCAUGACUGGGGUGAAGUCGUGGAAUAAGGUAG